UCACCUACCCCCUCUCUCUAUGUCCUUUGUAUAGAUGGACUCUCUUAUGUUUAUCUCAAGAGAAAUUUUAUUUUUUUCAGUUUUUCUUAGAUGUACUUUGAUUUGAUGUGAAUCUUUUGGUCACAAUCAACAUGUUUAUCUUGGCUAAAUUAUGAGUUGUCGGACCGAUGUUGUCCGCACAACUAGGAGGGGGUGGAGAUGAAAUGGGGCCAAAUGAUCCCGCGGCAACAAUAGCAGAUCUGAAUUUGUGUUGCUAGGGUGCAGACUAACCUAACUUCAAGGAAAAACCUGAAGAUUCAAGUGCAAUUUUCUCCUGCCAAUUCCAUUUUCAGCAGCUUUCAGAGAUGCCUCUUCAUUUGUUAGAAAAAAACAUUGAGAUUCAAGUGCAUUUUUUCCUGCCAAUUCCAUUUUAAGAAACUUUCAAAGAUGCAUCUUCAUUUGUUAGAAAAUAUUUUUUUGAAUUAUGAGCUUGGUCUUUCAACAUGGCAUACAAAAUGUACUUUUGAAUAUAAUAUUAUGUUGCUACUUGCAAAGUUUUUUGAGUGGUAAAUUGUUUUUCAAAUUUCCAAGGACAUGUUAAUUUUAUGUGGCUUUAGAGGAGUAUAUCAAGUUAUCAGCAGGGUGCAUCAAUGGCUCACAGCGGAGGAAGCUGCCACGACUGCUAGUGCUGCAGCAAGGCGCUAGCUAGCUAGGUGUUGCAGACACAAUAAGUUUGCAUUUCGCUUCAGAAUUUAGAGGAGGUCAACAUUUGGUUUAUAGUCCUAAAAAGGUCAAACCUUUUCCCUAUUUCAUUCUUUGUCCCUCAAAUUGGGGCUAAAUAGUGUUUGUGAUGGAAAUUUUCGGGUUGGUAUUGGCAUUGGUUUGUGGGGAUUACAAGUUGAUAAGGAAUUCAUGCUUGAUGGUCAUGUAUUUUAAUGUCGUGAUUUGUGUUGAUGUUCUGCAUAUGUUCCGGAAAGAAGAUAGUAGGACAAAGCUAUAGGAGAACUCUGGUGAAAAGAAUUAUUUGCUUCGUCAAUGUAUAAAGGGAGUUAUGUCCAUGGUAGAGGUGCAGAUCAAGGAGGUCGGAAAAUGGGACGAGGUUGGGUGACAUGUACGAGGGAGGAAAAUGGUGUAGGUCCUUGUUUUUUGGUGAUGGUAGUUGCAUACUUCAAUGAAGGAAGGAAUCCCUAGCGCGUACAAUGACGUUAAUGUUGCUAGCAGCAGGGGACGGAAGCUUGUCACAUGUGAUGUGAAGGUUAGCUACCGUGAUCAAGGAAAUAACAUGUAUCUGUGUGGUUUGUUCCUGCUGUUGAUCGGACAUUGCCGUGUUUAAGGUAUGUUGUGCCCGGUGCUACUAAAUGCUAUAUAAAACCUAUAGUUGUACAUAAAACAUUCAUCUGACAUUACAUGACAACAAGCCAAACACUUUGCCACCUAGGAUAGUCUAUAUUUCUAUUUCCUUCAGUUAUCUCAUAUUUCCAGUAAAAAAACUCUUCACUUUGGGGUUUUGGAAUGAUCUUUAGGAAGUUGGUGAUGAGUUAGUAGAACUGAUGGAAAUUUCACUUUCAUUAGACAAUGACAUGACAAAGACGCCACUGCAUGAUAUAGUCUUUGGACUUAAGCCAUCUCAUAUGUACAAUAACAAGAUUUGUCGCUUUGGUUUUUUAGAAUAAUAUUCGAUAAGUUGGUGAAGAAUUAGAGCGGAAGUUACGCUCAUGAGUAGUAUUUGUUGUACAAACAUCCAAUUAAUUCUUAAGAUGCAAUAUAGACACUAUAAUAGUACUACUUUAGUCAAAUACAUUAUCCAUUGAUUGUUGUAGUGAAAUGUCGCUCUAGGUAUUAACUUGCAGAAUCUUGCACGACAAACUAUAGGCAUGUGAUCUCUAUGGUGUUCCGGUAAAUAAAGAAAACUAGAACAUGUGCCUUCAAGUUUUCUAUUUAUAUACAAAAACCAUCCAUUGGUACAUAUGAACAUAUGAAUAGGACUCAAGAAGAUCUAUUUUUUGUCAUGUUUGUGAGUUUUCUGUUAUUUCCUCUCAGUGUGAAUAGGACUGAAGAAGAUGGACAUAGCCUUUAGGUAAUUUCACUUUUUUUUUGAACCACAAAUCAUAGAACAAUAGUUCUAUGGUAUAUUUUCAUUAAAAAACAACAUGUUACAAAGGGAAAGGAUAAAACAAAAACAAAAGAAAAAAGAUCUAAGCUAAUGGGGCAGAUCCCUUAUCCAAUUUCAGUUUUGGGCAACAUGAGAAUCAUUUAAAAAUUUACCUGACAGCCUGCUUGAACAAGGUGGAAUACUUGUCUUUGAUCUUGUGUUGAAGUAGUUGAAGAUCCUUUUUUAAUUCAAGCCUCCAAUUUGAGACUGUCGGCUGGAUGUUUCUGAAGACCUUGCCAUUUCACUUUGUCUCGAUUAAUAACAUAUUACAAAUUUAUUUGUUUAAAUAGGGUAGGUUAUUUACGAAGGUAUACCAUUUCUAUUAACCGGAUAAUUUACAUCUUGGCAAGGACUUAUUGGUGCAACCUGGUCAUAAUUGCUCGGCCAAUUUCCCAACCCAAAUCCAGAACCGCUUCAUCUUUAGAUCUUUACGUGCUUGAUGAAAUGCCUUAGAGACUAAGAUCUGCACUUUGUUUUUCUCCGUUCUCCUUCUCACGGAUUAACCGAUGGAUGUAAGACCCAGAGAAGCAUUUGGAACUGGUCUGAAGUGUCUUCCAGUUUAUGCGUAUAUUCUUUUUUUUCAUGCUGGUAAAAUGUUAUUGGCUCGCUCAUCUGCACACACCUUUCAUUGUUGCUAAUCCUGAGAAUCCAAUCAACGAAAUAGUUGGUGAUGUUUGCUGUGGUACGCAGUUAAAAUUGCUACAUAUAGUUCAGUUUGAGACAAGGUAUUGACUGCAAUAAUAUAGGACUGUAGUGUUUCAAGCUAUUAAUACAGAUAAGAUUUUGAUUUGCCUGCAUUUGUAGAUUUUUAUCAUGCAUAUUCCACCUUUUUUCCUGCUCAAAUUAACCACCUAAGUUGACCUGACCAUGACAGUUGUGAAUAUUGAGGUACCUGAAAAAUGGUUGAUAAAGAUAAAGAUGCAGUUAAUUGACAUCGUUAUUUGGUAAGGCAAUCACCAAACUAAUAUUGUGAGCUCACGGACAUUCUUAGCAGGUGUCAUUUCUCACUACAAUAUUUCUGAUUUUUGGUUUGAUUUGACUAGCAGUUACAGUGGUCAGGACGACGCAGUUGUUGAGAUUGAUGGCAGAGAAAGAGCUAUGUAGUGUUUCAAGCUAUUAAUGCAUAGAAUAUUUUGAUUUGCCUGCAUUUGUAGAUUUUUACUCGUGCAUAUUCCAGCUUUUUUUCCUGCUCAAAUUAAACACCUGACCAUGAUAGUUGUUGUGAAUAUUGAGGUACCUGAAAAAAUGUUUAUAAAGAUAAAGAUGCAGUUAAUUCACAUCGUUAUUUUGAUAAGGCAGUCACCAUAAUAAUACUGUGAGCUCACGGACAUUCUUAGCAGGUGUCGUUUCUCACUAAAUAUUUCUGAUUUUUGGUUCGAUUUGACUGGCAGUGACAGUGGUCAGGACGAUGCAGUAGUUGAGAUUGAUGACAUAGAAAGAGCUCUGUAGCCCGAUUAGGAAACUAGCGACGGUGGUUUAGUAAUUAAUGUGCGAUGAAUCAUUAGUUCUGAGCGACCAUCCUUGGAUGUCACUAUGACGACCACCUCUGCUUGUACUGACGAGGGCAUCUAGGUUGCAUCUAGACCACAUAUCCUUUCGAAUAGUCCCUACUGCCAUUUAGUGUAUUAACAUAUAUUCUGUUAUCUUCUUGUUAGGCAAAUUUAGAGAAUCUGGAUGUUGAAUUAGGUACUUCUGGUAUGCCUGGACUACAAAAGUCAAUAUAGUUGAUGUUCAUCAGUCUUUCUGGAUUGUCCACCUUUCAGUUGGGUUAAGCCUCUUUUUCUAUUGUAUGCAAAUGAAACAUACUUGAUGUACCUCUGGUAUGAUAAAAGAGAUCGCCCUUUCCUUUUGUAAAGUUUUCUGCAGAUGAUGUUGUGGAGGUUGAUUUAAGAAUUUGUGUGUUCAUUAGUUCAUUACUUCCUUUACCAUUAGACAAUGGUUUAUAAGUGUUGCAUCUGACCCUAUUUUGCUGGGAAAUAUGAAUGAAGUGAUAGUUCUUGCAAACAUGGACUCCUCUUUGUUGGACGAGGAUAACUAAAAUACUAAUCUAGCAGGCAAUAAUUACAUGGUUGAUCUCGGUUUUGUACAUGUUAGGUGAGCAUUAUCAGUUUUACUUCCCAUAAGAGAGUGUAUUUUAGAGCUGCAGAUUGUUUCUAUUUAAGAGCAAGAAGCCAAAUCAUGUUGUUCAUUGUAAAUCUUGAAAAACUUGUUGUUUAUUGUCACUUCUAUCUAUGUUAUAAACUUUUGUUC